UGCCCCCCCUUUUUUUUAUUUUAGAGAGAUCAUUAUUUUUGAAAGACUAUUUUUAGAGCAGUUUUAGGUUUACAACAAUAUUGACAGGAAGGUAUAGAUAUGCCCUAAGAACCGCCCCCCAUCCCUACACAUGCACAACCUCUCCCUCACCGUCAACAUCACUCACCAGAAUGGAACACUCUUUACUGACGGAGAAUCCCCACUGUGACAUCAUAAUCACCCAAAGUCUAUUGUCUACCUUGGGGCUCACUCUCGGUGUUGUACAUUUUGAAGACCUGGGCAAACAUAUAAGGACAUGUAUCCACCAUUAUAAUGUCAUAGAAGCUUGAUAGCUCAUUUCUUUUUACUGGUAAACAAUAUUCCGUUGUCUGGAUGGACCCCAGUUGAUUCCUCUUUUCACCUACUGAUGGACAUCUUGGUUCCUCCCAAGUUUGGGCCAUUGUGAAUACAGCUGCUGUAAACGUUGGUGUGCUGGUUUUUGUGUGGACCUGAGUUUUCAGCUCCUGGGGAGCUGCUGCAACUCCACGUGCUUUCCCCAACAUACUUCGCCACCUUGUCUCCCUCGUCUUUCCCUUCUGAAGGAAGGAGCUCCUGAAACUGACUGUUUUGUCAAGACGGGCUGCCCCACUAGAAUGCUGGUAAACCUUCCAUUAUAGUAAGCAAAUAACAUUUCCACUGAAGUCUUUGUGCCUAAAGCUUUACCUACAUCUCAGAUUUAUCCAUAAAGGGAGUUGCCAGAAGUAAGCUUGCUUGGUCCAAAGUUAUGAAUGUAGUUAAAACUUUGAAUAGUUGCUGUUAUUCGUUCCAUUGCGUCCCCAUACGCUGAUAUG